CCACAGUUGUUGGUUCCUCUGCUGCUCAGCUUUGGUGAUUUAAAUUGCUCUUCACGUUCACUAGGUAUUGACUGUUACCCCAGUGUUUCCAGAGUGCCUGAGCACAGCACACAGGUAUUCUGUUGAGGGCUAGAAAUGGAAAGUGUCAUCUGCCAGGUUUCAGAACUACUUUUGGGGGAAGGAGGUAGCUGUUUUUCUUUCCUAAACACAAGGAAACUUGAGUACAUGUUUCCCAUAUUGUUUAACUAGCAAUAGAACUUAAUCUUUGGCUCAGUGACGCUGUAAAUUGUUAACUGCUUUCCUUUAGGAAAUAUGUGGUAGUUGUAGUACAUGGUGGAACGGUUAGACUUGAGUCAAGAAGUACUGUAUGUCCCAAUUUUGUCAGUAAAGGAUAUUUCCAUAUCUGGGAAGGUUCAGUUGAAGAAUUUGACAAGAUUUCCUCAAUAUAUGUAGUGAUUAGUGGUUUGAUAACCAAAAGUCAUAGACAAAUAAAUUUAUAGCUGGUUAGCCAGUUAUGUGCUAAAUAUUAAGAGUCCAAUAAAGUACUCUGACUGCUCAGUAGAUAAGUGAGAUAUAUUACUUAACAGAAGGUUUCAGGUCUUUACUUUAGACAAUGCAUGUAGGUGGCUUCUGCAUACAGUCUUGAAGGAGCACAAGAUUCUGAUUUGAAAGAAGACUAUAGGGAAUAAA
rnacentral:sRNA from 1 species